GUUGUUUACAUAAUUUAUAUUUGCUAUGUCUUUGUUAAUUCUCCGAUUAAUUUAUAAUUUAUAUAAAGAAUUUAUGUAUCAAUUCCUUUCUUAGUUUAAAAUGUACUAGACUUGGAUCCGCGCGACCGCACGAGUAUUUUUUUUGAAAUAUUUUUUCGUGAUGUAGUUAUAUGUUUUUACACCCUUAUUAUCCUCUAUACAUUUAAGUAUAUGUCAUAUAGACAACUAAUGAGAGUAUGUUUUUUUAAAAGAGUAAAUACGAUUUGAUAUUAUGUGUAACAUAAUUAACCUAUUAGUCAUGAUUUUUUUUUUAAAAUUAACACGUGCAAUUGAUAACACAAAAUUGAAAAUAAGAAAAAAAUAAUAUUACAAUUGUUUUGAUUUAUUCAGCAACAAUUCUAAACCAAACUUAUAUUACUUGUUGGGCCAUAUUUGUUUUGAUCUAAUGAUAAUUUGUUUAACAAUAUCGGCUCAAAUGGCCCAAGUCACCCAAUCUCUUUGUUUUUGUGACUGGCAAGUUAUGAUCGUUAGUACGUAUUUAAAAAAAAUUGAAUAGAGAAGUUUUUUAAAAAAAAAUCUAUCUAUAUUUUUCUGUGAAAAAAAGAGCGAUUACAAUGGAGAAACUUUGUUUCAAAGCUUGAGAUAAGUUGUUCUUUAAUGGGAUAUCUGAUUCCGUGGGGAAAGAUUGUAUCUGAUGUUUCAUUUGUGGAUCAAGGAAAUUUGCGUGGUCAGAAAAGAGAACCGACAAAAAUCAAUUUUGUUUUUGUUUUGAUAAAACCAGAGUUUCAGAUCUGCGGUGAGAUUUCUGACGUCUAUCAAAUAAAAUAUGCAAGGGUAGCUUUGAAUUAAAUACUCUCAAAAUUUAUGGUAUCUAAAAUAAAACUUUCUUGUGGUGAUUUUGAAUUUUUCCUGUGUUUAGCUGGACAAAAACACCAACGUAGAGUAAAAAGAGAAUUCGGACAGAAGAUCUGAACUCCACCAAUAUCUAUAGCUUUACCUAUUAUAUCUAUCAUAGAUAAAAACACUCACGUUGGUUACACUAUGAAGUUUACAAAAGAUAAACAUAAUCUAUAGGAAUAGCAUAUCAAAAUAAUAUACCAAUUAGAAAGUUAGUAUCAUGACUUCCUUUCAAGAUCUCUUCGUAACUUGUUAGAGACAAAAAUCUGUUAUCACAUGGUGGUCUGAGUCUGUAAAAUCAGUCUCGUUUGUGAUAGUCAUCUUAUACUUUAGUUUUGAUGGUUUGUAUUUGCCACCGGUAUUAGAUAUCAUCAUGUUCUCCGUAACACGCCAUUUUCAAGGAAGAAGGUUUCUUGAACACACAUAAUGUGAGUUCUCUUGCACAUACACUAAAUUUUACCAUCCUAAAAACAACAAAUGAUUGUAUCAGAAACAUAUAGAUUAAAAAAAUACAGAAAAUAGUCAGAUUAUAGAACUAACUGUUUCAUCAACUAAAACCAUUUCUACGGGUUUCAUAGGUGGGUUUUGUAUCCAUGAGUGAAUCAGUUUCACUUACACGCCACACACUCUUAUAUGGUUUCAGAUCUUUGAGCAAAUGAAAACUUUUGUUAGUAGACAUAUUUUUGUGAGGUGCGAAGGAAGUGAAUCUGUAGAAAAUGAGUACAUGUCGAGUAGAAUAUAUAUUGAAGAUACAAAACCCUAGAGUAGAGAAAAUAUCUUAACCACAUUUGCAAGGCAUAUCCCGUCUAAAUAAAUAUGUAGAAUAUUUUGUUUAUUAUGUGUUAUGGUUAAAAGCCCGUAAAAUAGGAAAUGCUAAGAUUUGGUAGUUGUUUGUUCGAAUUUUAUGUUGAAUCAUAUAUUUAAAUUUACUUUAAAACUUAGUGGUUAUGAAUAUAAAUAGGAAAGUCUAAGAUUUUGUGCUUGUUCUGCAAUUGUAGGCGUAAAAGUAAUAGAAUUUACACAAAUAAAAAAGUCAAUUCGAAUUCUACGUAGAUGAUUUAAACCAACAAAAUAGGAAAGUCUAAGAUUUGCUAACCUUUUGUGCUUAAAUUUCGGAGCAUACAACCCUAUGUUUAAUUAUAUAUUCUAAUUGACUUUUAUAAAUUUGUGGUUAUGAUUUGAAAUUAGGAAAGGCUAAGAUUUUGUGAUAUCCCCCGAGAUUGUAGGUCUCAUCGAGUUGUGAUCUGCCAAAUUAGUUCACUAAAGAAUUAAAUGUAUAAGAUUUUGGGUGGGAUGAAAUAUAGAAAAGUAAUGAAUUGUACAUAUAAAUUAUGUAUAAUUAGCAUAUAAUAAUAAGUUUGUCACAUUGGCAGAUAGAAGUAAGAGCUUAUUCAAAUCGAUCAUUGUUAUAAGUUGAUCUUUUUCAACAUGUUGAAUUAUAGUUUACAUAAUUUUGCUGUUGGUGCAGGUUAAAUAAACUUAAAGGAAGGAUUAUGGUUUGAUAAUGAUAUUGGAGGACAAAUCAGAAAACAUUGACUACCUAGGAAAGAGAAGCAUUGUCGUUACAUUAUUUGUUUCUGUCGUUUUUAGUUAGUUUUAAUUAUUUUAGAAAACAUUGAUUACUUGGAAAAGACAAGCAUUAUUAAUUGUUUAGUUCAUUUAAUUAUCAGUGGCAUUUAGUUGUAAAUAAAAGAAAACUCUAAGGGUUAUUUUAUAUGUGUACUUCUGUUUUAAUAAAGUAGAUACAUAAUAAAUGAACGACAAAAUAAUUCAUGAUCUGUCAAAAAAAAUAACGAGAUCUUAAUAUUCAGGACAAAGUAAUCAAUAAAUAUGUGUACCUUUAAGAAAAAAAUUCUUCUUUUCAUCGAUAUUCCUUAAAUCAUCGUAACUUGAAAGUGAAAGAUAAAUCUUAUCAGAUAGAAGAUCACAUUUUGUUAAGAUUGUCUUGCCUGAAAGUAUCAUUUUGUAUUGAUGAUUUGUUGGGCGAUAAUGUCCAAAUCACGCGAUAUGGUCACCGAGAUAUUAGGCAAAAUUGAAACGACUUGGAGAAAGGGUUUUUCCAUAAAAUAUUUUACGGCAAAGUAAAUUUUGAGGUUUUAGGUGUGUAAAUAAGAAUAUACAUUGAGCUUUCUAUAGAGGAUUAAUCGAUGUUCAUAAACGAAUAUACUACACAAAUAUUCCCUAAGCCAAUAUACUAAUCUAUAAUAAAUAGCAAAUCACGCAAUAUGGUGAUCGUGAUAUUAGGCAUGAUUGAUACGUCUUGGAGAAGGGAUUUUCGAGAAAUGAUUUUAAUUGUUAUAAAAUUUGGGUUCAUGUUAUUUUAAUUACCGAAAUAUAGAUAUUGAUAUCAAUUAAUAACAUAAUUAUAUGAACUUCCAAAGCGAAAUAUUGUGUUUGAUCAGUUUGAAAUAAAAAAAAUUACUAACCAUGGUGAUUACCGAGAUGAACCGAGAUUACUAAAGAUUUAAUUGUUAUAAAAUUUCUGUUUCUGUUAUUUUAAUUACCGGAAAUAUAGAUAUUGAUAUCAAUUAUUAACAUAGUUAUAUGAACUUCCAAAGCGAAAUAUUGUGUUUGAUCAGUUUGAAAUAAAAAAAUUACUAACCAUGGUGAUUACCGAGAUGAACCGAGAUUACUAACCAUGGUUCUAACCGUGAACAAAAUAUUAUUAUGGCAUCUGUGGUUCUAACCGUGAACAAAAUAUUAUUAUGGCAUCUGUUCAAACAAAUAGUAACUGUUAUAACAAUUGUUGCCUAGACGUGAAUUAACCGUAAAAUUUUCUUUGAGUUUAUAUUCAAAAUC